rnacentral:lncRNA from 1 species
GCUUCCUACCUCCAGCUUUACGGUAAACCCUUUGUUAAAUCUUCACAGUACCACUGAGAAGUAGGUAGGUAGCAUUUUAUUUUUUGGUACUGGAUAUUGAACCCAGGAGCGCUUUCCCACUAGGGUCUCCAUAAGUUUCUGAGGCUGGCCUUGAACCUGAGAUCCUCCUGCCUCAGCUUCCUGAGUUGCUGAGAUGAUAGGCGUGUGCCACUGGACUUUAAAAAAAAGUCAACUAAGGGAAAACUAGAGACUUCAUAGAAGAAAACCAGAAGUUUUUUUUUUUUUUUUUAAGGCCAUUGAACAACCUUUGUCUUCCGAAGACCAUGGGAAAGGCUUUUGACUCUUCUGAGUCUCUUUUAACCAAGGACCCUCACUUGCUGGGCCCUGUCAGCCACCGAAGGCACUGCGGAGACGGAGACGGAAUGGCCUGGUGUUGGCUGUAAUUGUGGGGCCACAGGGGCGAGCAGUAGAGCAUGGAACCAGGGAUCAGGCCACUUCCCAUCCUCGCCCCUAAAUUUCAUCAUGGUUUCAAUUUUUUUUUGAGUUUCCUAAUUUUUUGGGUUGUUGAGCAUCUUUUCCCACACUUUUUGAUCAUCUGUGUAUUUUCUUUCUUUCUUUUUUUUUUAAGAGAGAGAGAGAAUUUUUAAUAUUUAUUUUUUUAGUUUUCGGCGGACACAACAUCUUUGUUUGUAUGUGGUGCUGAGGAUCGAACCCGCGCCGCACGCAUGCCAGGCGAGCGCGCUACCGCUUGAGCCACAUCCCCAGCCCCAUCUGUGUAUUUUCUUUGGUGCAAAGUCUGUUCAAAUCUUUCACUUUCCAUAUUUUGGCCUGGAAUCCAUCUUUUCCAUUGAAAUCAG